UUUCCGGUUGAUCCCGCCGGAGGUCACUGCUAUCGGGGUUCGACUAAGCCAUGCAAGUCGAGAGGGGAAAGCCCUCGGCGAACUGCUCAGUAACACGUGGACAACCUGCCCUAAGGAGGAGGAUAAUCCCGGGAAACUGGGGAUAAUACUCCAUAGUCUAGGGAAGCUGGAAUGCUCCCUAGUCCAAAGCUCCGGCGCCUUAGGAUGGGUCUGCGGCUGAUUAGGUUGUUGUUGGGGUAACGGCCCAACAAGCCAGUAAUCAGUACGGGUUGUGAGAGCAAGAGCCCGGAGAUGGAUUCUGAGACAUGAAUCCAGGCCCUACGGGGCGCAGCAGGCGCGAAAACUUUACAAUGCGGGAAACCGUGAUAAGGGAACCCCGAGUGCCUGUACAUACAGGCUGUUCAGGUGUCCAAAACGCACCUGGAGAAAGGGCCGGGCAAGACCGGUGCCAGCCGCCGCGGUAAUACCGGCGGCUCGAGUGGUGGCCACUAUUACUGGGCUUAAAGCGUUCGUAGCUGGGUUGUUAAGUCUCUUGGGAAAUCCAACGGCUCAACCGUUGGGCGUCUAAGGGAUACUGGCAACCUAGGGACCGGGAGAGGUGAGGGGUACUCCGGGGGUAGGAGUGAAAUCCUGUAAUCCUCGGGGGACCACCGGUGGCGAAGGCGCCUCACCAUAACGGCUCCGACAGUGAGGGACGAAAGCUGGGGGAGCAAACCGGAUUAGAUACCCGGGUAGUCCCAGCUGUAAACGAUGCGCGUUAGGUGUCUCGGUGACCACGAGUUACCGAGGUGCCGAAGGGAAACCGUGAAACGUGCCGCCUGGGAAGUACGGUCGCAAGGCUGAAACUUAAAGGAAUUGGCGGGGGAGCAC
rnacentral:rRNA from 1 species